UACGUAGGGUCCGAGCGUUGUCCGGAAUUAUUGGGCGUAAAGAGCUCGUAGGUGGCCUGUCGCGUCGGCUGUGAAAACUCGGGGCUCAACUCCGAGCUUGCAGUCGAUACGGGCAGGCUAGAGUUCGGCAGGGGAGACUGGAAUUCCUGGUGUAGCGGUGAAAUGCGCAGAUAUCAGGAGGAACACCGGUGGCGAAGGCGGGUCUCUGGGCCGAUACUGACACUGAGGAGCGAAAGCGUGGGGAGCGAACAGGA
rnacentral:rRNA from 1 species